rnacentral:rRNA from 1 species
CUACGGGGCGCUCCAGUGGGGAAUAUUGCACAAUGGGGGAAACCCUGAUGCAGCAACGCCGCGUGGAGGAUGACGCAUUUCGGUGUGUAAACUCCUUUUAUAUCCCAAGAUAAUGACGGUAGGAUAUGAAUAAGCACCGGCUAACUCCGUGCCAGCAGCCGCGGUAAUACGGAGGGUGCAAGCGUUACUCGGAAUCACUGGGCGUAAAGGGCGCGUAGGCGGGUUGUCAAGUCUUGAGUGAAAUCCAACGGCUCAACCGUUGAACUGCUUGAGAAACUGGCAGCCUAGAGUGAGGGAGAGGUAGAUGGAAUUGGUGGUGUAGGGGUAAAAUCCGUAGAGAUCACCAGGAAUACCCAUUGCGAAGGCGAUCUGCUGGAACUCUACUGACGCUGAGGCGCGAAAGCGCGGGGAGCAAACAGGAUUAGAUACCCCCGUAGUC